UACGGGGGGGGCAAGCGUUGUUCGGAUUUAUUGGGCGUAAAGAGCGUGUAGGCGGCCAGGUAGGUCUGCUGUGAAAACUCGAGGCUCAACCUCGAGACGUCGGCGGAAACCAUCUGGCUAGAGUCCGGAAGAGGAGAGUGGAAUUCCUGGUGUAGCGGUGAAAUGCGCAGAUAUCAGGAAGAACACCCGUGGCGAAGGCGGCUCUCUGGGACGGUACUGACGCUGAGACGCGAAAGCGUGGGGAGCGAACAGG
rnacentral:rRNA from 1 species